rnacentral:rRNA from 1 species
AAGGUGGAUUUAUUAGUAAUUGUGUUUUAUUAUUAUGUGAUGAAAAGUGAAAUUACAUGUGUACAUAUUGCCCGUCGCUCUCGUUGUAUUGUGAGAUAAGUCGUAACAUAGUUGAUGUACUGGAAAGUAUAUCUUUUUGA